AAAAAAAAAAAAAAAAAAAAACUAGUAUGACACAAACUCACCAAAGUGGCUAUUCCUCAGACUCUGUGCUUUAUAAAUUCACGUUUGUUAGGGCAGACAGAAAAUUCUGUUUCUUUGUACCCAAAAAGAUUUAAGCAUUUGUCGUGCAUUGAUCUGGGGUUUUGAGGGGGAAACAUCCUUGGUUAUGUCUGUGGGAUUUGUGGUGCCUUCUGGAGGAUUAAGAUGUCAUUGCCUCUAGUCAGGGCAUGCUCUCUUUUCCAGUUGGUGGGUCUUAUUUUGUUUACAUCUGCUUCCUCCCAGCACUGACAGAUUUGAAAUGUGUGCCUGAAGUGCACCUUUGUGCCAGGCCCAUAGUUUUGACUGGGGCCCUCAUGACCCAUUGGCCAUGGUCACUUUGCCUGGGAGCAAUCAUCAUUUCUAGGGUAUAGGAACUUGAAGCAAAGAAUUUGCUGCAUUUUCAAAAAGCAGGAAGGGGUGGUUAAAGUGUGGAUGGAGGGGUAAUCUCCCCCCACCCCCGCCCCAGCCCCUGUUUUGUAAGAGAGGCUAUCCAACUCAUGUAUUUCCAGCCCCGAGUGUUGGCAAAAACAUUUUCAUAUUGUUCUCACUUUUCUGACUGAGUCCAAAAAGUUCCUGGGAAACAGGUUUUGUUUUUCCUCGGGGGAUGUUUGGAUUUGAAAACACCAAAUUUCAACUGCAAUCGUUUGUCCAAGUGUGGUGUUGAAAGUACUGUCUAGAUCUGAGUAAAUCAGAAUCUGAAGAAAUAUAGCCAACGUCACUCAUUAACAAUGGGUUUUCCAAGGGUGAGUGACAUGAGGCCAUUUGUCUGCGGUGAGGUAGAUGCGCUCCUCUUUUCAGUGGCCCCCUGAGGCCACCAAUGUCACGGGCAAGCACAUCCUCGGUUUGGGGCCAUUAGCUGAAUGCCCUCUGUUUCAUCUUGCCUUUUCUAGGCCGCCCUCUCCUGUCUUUAAGGUCAGGGUUUCAGAAUGUCCUUCAGUUCUGCUUUAGUCAGGACUAAAAGCCUUCCACAGUGCCUUGACGAGGAGGACAUAUAAGGAAGAGGCACAAUUCAAGUAAAGUCAGUCUGUAUUGAUUUUGUGAACCCGGGGAACAGUAAGCCAGCCUUCAGUGCCGCCUGGCUGCCGGGCGCAUGCCGUUGUCAGACCGAUGAGCGAGGCUCCAUGCAGACAGGUGACAUAUUCGAGGUGGCAAGAGCAGCAAGAGCUUCUAGAUCCUGUCAUUUUGCUUCUGACAGUGUCUUUGUGUCUUUGUACAGUUGGAGGACCUGACUGACACGUGAGCCCCCCUUGGCAGCCAUCAUCUUCAGAAUACUGCUUUCCUCCCACGGGAGGAGCUUGUACCUCUCUCAUGUGUACAGGGUGCUUAUGUGCUCAUGAGCAGGCAAAGGAGCAGGGGACGGUUUCUUCCAGAUCACCCUUCCAGGUGCUCUGGAGUUGAUGUGGCCUGGCCACCUUUUCAUCAUCGCCCCUCCAGUUCCAUUGCAGUGAUGCAUUGCAGGCUCUCCUCAGGAAAAUGUUAUAAAGGAACUUGCUUAGAUUUUGUAAAUUAUUAUGUGGUUAAAGAAAUCAACGAUUUAUCAAGUGCUCACUCUGUGGAAGGCAUCGUGUGCAGAAUCGAAGUAAAGGCAAAGAUUGAAAGAAAUCAUUCCUCAAAAAAGUUGUGUGUAUUAAAAUAUGAAGAGCAGUAA
rnacentral:lncRNA from 1 species